rnacentral:rRNA from 1 species
UGAGGAAUCUUCGUCAAUGGGCUAAGGCCUGAACGAGCAACGCCGCGUGGAGGACGACGCCUUUCGGGGUGUAAACUCCUUUUCUGGGGGACGAGAACGGACGGUACCCCAGGAAGAAGUCUCGGCUAACUACGUGCCAGCAGCCGCGGUAAUACGUAGGAGACGAGCGUUGUCCGGAGUUACUGGGCGUAAAGGGCGCGCAGGCGGCCUCCCGCGUGAGUGGUGAAAGCUCCUGGCUUAACUAGGAGAGGUCCAUUCAGACGGGGAGGCUUGAGCGUCGGAGAGGGGCAUGGAAUUCCGGGUGGAGCGGUGAAAUGCGUAGAGAUCCGGAGGAACACCAAUGGCGAAGGCAGUGCCCUGGCCGACGGCUGACGCUCAGGCGCGAAAGCGUGGGGAGCAAACAGGAUUAGAUACCCCCGUAGUCC